rnacentral:rRNA from 1 species
GUGUCAGCAGCCGCGGUAAGACGAACCGUGCGAACGUUGUUCGGAAUCACUGGGCUUAAAGGGCGCGUAGGCGGCUUCGCAAGUCCGGGGUGAAAGCCCCCAGCUCAACUGGGGAAGUGCCUUGGAUACUGCGGGGCUCGAGCGAGGCAGGGGUCGUGGGAACUUCCGGUGGAGCGGUGAAAUGCGUUGAUAUCGGAAGGAACGCCGGUGGCGAAAGCGCACGACUGGUCCUCUUCUGACGCUGAGGCGCGAAAGCCAGGGGAGCAAACGGGAUUAGAAACCCUAGUAGUCC